UACAGAGGGUGCGAGCGUUGUUCGGAAUUACUGGGCGUAAAGAGCGCGUAGGCGGCGCGGUACGACCGCUGUGAAAGCCCCCAGCUCAACUGGGGAGGGUCAGCGGUAACGGCCGUGCUAUGAGUGCAGGAGAGGGAAGUGGAACUCCGGGAAUAGCGGUGAAAUGCGUAGAGACCCGGAGGAACACCAGUGGCGAAGGCGGCUUCCUGGUCUGCGACUGACGCUGUGGCGCGAAAGCUAGGGGAGCAAACGGG
rnacentral:rRNA from 1 species